UGGGGAAUAUUGCACAAUGGAGGGAACUCUGAUGCAGCGACGCCGCGUGAACGAAGAAGGCUUUCGAGUCGUAAAGUUCUUUUAUAUGGGAAGAUAAUGACGGUACCAUAAGAAAAAGCCCCGGCUAACUACGUGCCAGCAGCCGCGGUAAUACGUAGGGGGCUAGCGUUGUACGGAAUCACUGGGCGUAAAGGGUUCGCAGGCGGAAAUGCAAGUCAGGUGUAAAAGGCAGUAGCUUAACUACUGUAAGCAUUUGAAACUGCAUAUCUUGAGAAGAGUAGAGGUAAGUGGAAUUUUUAGUGUAGCGGUGAAAUGCGUAGAUAUUAAAAAGAAUACCGGUGGUGAAGGCGACUUACUGGGCUCAUUCUGACGCUGAGGAACGAAAGCGUGGGUAGCAAACAGG
rnacentral:rRNA from 1 species